AAGUUUUGGUGACUGCGCUCCUCUACUAGCCAGUUACCUAGGUUCAAAAGACCUGCAAGUUAUUUGAACCCUUGAAAAAACCGCCCUGCAAGGCGGUUUUUUCAU
rnacentral:antisense_RNA from 1 species